rnacentral:rRNA from 1 species
AGUGAACGCUGGCGGUAGGCCUAACACAUGCAAGUCGAACGGCAGCACAGUAAGAGCUUGCUCUUACGGGUGGCGAGUGGCGGACGGGUGAGGAAUACAUCGGAAUCUACUUUUUCGUGGGGGAUAACGUAGGGAAACUUACGCUAAUACCGCAUACGACCUACGGGUGAAAGCAGGGGAUCUUCGGACCUUGCGCGAUUGAAUGAGCCGAUGUCGGAUUAGCUAGUUGGCGGGGUAAAGGCCCACCAAGGCGACGAUCCGUAGCUGGUCUGAGAGGAUGAUCGGCCACACUGGAGCUGAGACACGGUCCAGACUCCUACGGGAGGCAGCAGUGGGGAAUAUUGGACAAUGGGCGCAAGCCUGAUCCAGCCAUACCGCGUGGGUGAAGAAGGCCUUCGGGUUGUAAAGCCCUUUUGUUGGGAAAGAAAAGCAGCAGGUUAAUACCCCGCUGUUCUGACGGUACCCAAAGAAUAAGCACCGGCUAACUUCGU